rnacentral:rRNA from 1 species
UACGGGGGGGGCAAGCAUUGUUCGGAAUUACUGGGCGUAAAGGGCUCGUAGGUGGCCAACUAAGUCAGACGUGAAAUCCCCAGGCUUAACCUGGGAACUGCGUCUGAUACUGGAUGGCUUGAAUUCGGGAGAGGGAUGCAGAAUUCCAGGUGUAGCGGUGAAAUGCGUAGAUAUCUGGAGGAACACCGGUGGCGAAGGCGGCAUCCUGGACCGACACUGACGCUGAGGAGCGAAAGCCAGGGUAGCGAACGGG